CAAAAAAGACUAUGCGCCACACUCACCAUAGCCUUAAAAAAAUGCUAUUUAAAAUAAUAUACAACAGCAGUUCAGACUGCAACAAAAAUCAAAGGAGCUAAUUUGUUUCCCUUUUAAGAGCGCAUCAAGCUCAUGGGUGGGGCUCACAAACGACCAGACUAGGGGUUGUUGCCCUUUUAAGAUGACAGGUAUUACCUACGAACAGGUGUAUGGGAGAGAAUAAGGAAGUGGAGGGGAGAAUCGCUUUCCCAUAGAAAGGGCUAGAAAGAACCUUCUUCAGUAUACAGAAACGAACAAGUGGGGGAAAAAAAAAACUACUCAAAAACUCUACAAUGAGGAGAAAGAGGAAGUUGUCUGGCUUCCCUGAACAGAGGAAAUGAAUCCGCUCCUGCUUCCUGUUGUUGCCGUGAUUGUGUCCGCUGUGCUGCCCCCAGUCAUCCGGUCCCAGAACCCGGUCCCGAUCCAGUUCCAGACGGCCCCAGUGCUGGUGGCGUCCGGCGUGGAGGCGGUGAUGACCGUGGUGACGGUGUCG